GCCAUACGUGUGCAUUAACCCUCGCAGUUGGGUGAUGUCAGAGGAGGCGGAGCAGAGAGAGGGUUUAUUUAAUCCUAUCAGUGUGGGUGGGAAGGGGUGCAGAGGAAACUAUAGUGCUAACAAUAUAAUUUUGUGUUCCGUUCACUGCAGUAUCCCUUUAAGUUUAGGAUCUGAUUUAGUACACCUUAGGUUUAUAAAUGUCUUUAUUCAUAAUCUCACUACACAUGUACCACAUAACAGAUAUUCCGCAGUAACAAUUGUUCCCCCCAAAACAUGUUCAUACGCUGAAAAGCAGAAGAGGAAAAAAAAUCAACUACUUCGAUUCAGGUGCAGCAGCUGCCAUCUGUUUCCAGACAGAGUUGCAAGAUAAAUAUUCUUUAAAUCAAAUCAGCCAUUAGACAGCUGCCCAUCUACCCAUUACCUAGUCCUCUCUGUACAGGCUGGUGUGACGGUGAAAAAGAAAGCACUUUUAGGGAAAUCGCUGUCACUGUAUGGAUCUGUUUAGCUCUAGAACAGGGGUUCUCAACGUUAGUCCUCAG